GACGAACGCUGGCGGCGUGCUUAACACAUGCAAGUCGAACGGAAAGGCCCUGCUUUUGUGGGGUGCUCGAGUGGCGAACGGGUGAGUAACACGUGAGUAACCUGCCCUUGACUUUGGGAUAACUUCAGGAAACUGGGGCUAAUACCGGAUAGGAGCUCCUGCUGCAUGGUGGGGGUUGGAAAGUUUCGGCGGUUGGGGAUGGACUCGCAGCUUAUCAGCUUGUUGGUGGGGUAGUGGCUUACCAAGGCUUUGACGGGUAGCCGGCCUGAGAGGGUGACCGGCCACAUUGGGACUGAGAUACGGCCCAGACUCCUACGGGAGGCAGCAGUGGGGAAUAUUGCACAAUGGGCGGAAGCCUGAUGCAACAACGCCGCGUGCGGAAUGACCGCCUUCGAGUUGUAAACCGCUUUCGCCUGUGACGAAGCGUGAGUGACGGUACUGAGUAAAGAAGCACCGGCUAACUACGUG
rnacentral:rRNA from 1 species